rnacentral:rRNA from 1 species
AUUGAACGCUCGCGGCAUGCCUUACACAUGCAAGUCGAACGGUAACGGGCCUUCGGGUGCCGACGAGUGGCGAACGGGUGAGUAAUACAUCGGAACGUGCCCGAUCGUGGGGGAUAACGAGGCGAAAGCUUUGCUAAUACCGCAUACGAUCUACGGAUGAAAGCAGGGGACCGCAAGGCCUUGCGCGGACGGAGCGGCCGAUGGCAGAUUAGGUAGUUGGUGGGAUAAAAGCUUACCAAGCCGACGAUCUGUAGCUGGUCUGAGAGGAUGAUCAGCCACACUGGGACUGAGACACGGCCCAGACUCCUACGGGAGGCAGCAGUGGGGAAUUUUGGACAAUGGGCGCAAGCCUGAUCCAGCCAUGCCGCGUGCAGGAUGAAGGCCUUCGGGUUGUAAACUGCUUUUGUACGGAACGAAAAGCCUUCUUUUAAUACAGGAGGGUCAUGACGGUACCGUAAGAAUAAGCACCGGCUAACUACGUG